GACGAACGCUGGCGGCGUGCUUAACACAUGCAAGUCGAACGGAAAGGCCAUGCUUUUGUGGGGUGCUUGAGUGGCGAACGGGUGAGUGACACGUGAGUAAACCGCCCUUGACUUUGGGAGAACUUCAGGAAACUGGGGCUAAUACAGGAUAGGAUCUCUUGCUGCGUGUGGGUGGUUGGAAAGAUCCGGCUGUGGGGGAUGGACUCGCGGGUUAUCAGCUGGUUUGGGGAGUAGUUGCUUACCAAGGCUUUGAAGGGUAGGCGGCCUGAGAGGGUGACCGGCCACAUUGGGACUGAGAGACGGCGCAGUCUCCAACGUGAGGCAAUAGGGGGGAAUAUUGCACAGUGGGCGCAAGCCUGAUGCAGCAACGCCGCGUGCGGGAUGCCCUCCUUUGGGUUAUAAACAGCUUUCGCCGGUGACGAACCGUGCGUGACGGUAAUGGGUAAAAAAGCACCGGCUAACUACGUG
rnacentral:rRNA from 1 species